rnacentral:rRNA from 1 species
UACAGAGGUCUCAAGCGUUGUUCGGAUUCAUUGGGCGUAAAGGGUGCGUAGGCGGCGGGGCAAGUCAGGUGGGAAAUCCCGGAGCUCAACUCCGGAACUGCACUUGAUACUGCCUUGCUAGAGUACUGGAGAGGAGACUGGAAUUUACGGUGUAGCAGUGAAAUGCGUAGAUAUCGUAAGGAAGACCAGUGGCGAAGGCGAGUCUCUGGACAGUUACUGACGCUGAGGCACGAAGGCCAGGGGAGCAAACGGG